rnacentral:misc_RNA from 1 species
CAUUAAAUGGAACUGCAGUGGUUCCCAGGACAGAUUCAAUCGAGUUAUUUACAUUUGUGAGCAUGGCAGUAGUUUUAUGAGUAGAACCAUUAUUCAAUACUUGAGAAUGAUCCAUUACACCAGGCAGAUUGUGAUUUUUCCAGGGUGUCAAUUUUGUUGGCUCUUGACUCCAACCUUGGUAUGGCCCCUCAUACAUCUGUAACUUUUCCUGUAAAAACUGAAUGUACUCUAUGACCUCUAACAAGAAUGAAGCCUUAUCUCUUUUCUGAUCAUUUUGAGGUAUAAGAUCUCUCAAAAUCUGGAACCUCUCAUUAAUCUUGCUCCUUCUACGGUGCUCUGUCUCCGAAU